CAACCGCCAAGUGGCUUGCGUGCGGCCGUGGGUGCGGUCCAAGGUCUAAGGCCAAGGCGACGACUCCGGCUUCAAGUACGCCACGUGCGUGCGCAGCUUUAGAGGCAAAAAGAGUUAGGCCCCUUCACGCUCUUCAACGAGCAACUGGCAAGCCAAGACGCAGCUUGCCUGGUGGCCCUUCUUCGGCAUGUAAUACGUGGAAUAGUCUGGUACAUAGCAUCCUUCCCAUCCUCCAAUCCUAGACGCUGCCCAGACCGAAUCAGCAGCACCACACUGACUUGGGGGCUUAAAUUAAAUUAAGUUGGAAAAUGAUAGCCAUGCCUAUUCAGACCGUUAUUCAUAUUUGUAACCCUACUCUCUACCUCAAUUCCUCCUUUGUCUCCACUCCCAUUUCAAAGCUCUACGGUACUCCGCCUCCACCUCCACUUCCCCAGCGUCCUUCUCGCUUUCGAACUUGCUUCUCUGCUCUCUCAGACAUGGAUUCCACUGGCGGUCAAAGUCUCUACCCGUUGCAUCGUUGCAAGACUCUUCACCUGGUAAGGCAUGCCCAAGGGAUUCACAACGUGGAAGGGGAGAAAAACCAUGAUGCAUACUUAUCUAAUGAUUUUUUUGAUGCACAACUAACUCCUCUUGGCUGGAAGCAGGUUCAUAACCUGCGCAAGCAUGUUCAAGCAUGUGGGAUAUCCAAAAGCAUCGACCUAGUCAUUGUUUCCCCAUUGUUAAGGACCAUGCAAACAGCAGCUGGAGUCUUUGGUGGUGAAGCAUACACAGAUGGGGUAAAUGUACCUCCUCUAAUGGUUGCAAAUACAGGGAACAGUGGCCAUCCUGCAAUUUCAAGUCUAAAUUGCCCACCGUUUGUAGCCGUAGAACUUUGCCGUGAACGUUUGGGAGUUAAUCCAUGUGAUAAGAGGCGAAGCAUUAGGGAAUAUCACCCACUUUUUCCUGCGAUUGAUUUUUCACUGGUGGAAAAUGAUGAUGACAUUUUGUGGAAGCCUGACAUUAGAGAGACGGAUGAGGAAGUUGCUGAUAGGGGACAGAAGUUUUUGAAAUGGUUGUGGACUCGUGAAGAGAAGGAGAUUGCAAUUGUCACCCACAGUGCAUUCUUGUUUCAAACCCUAAGCUCUUUUGGAAACGAUUGUCAUCCGAUUGUUAAGAGUGAAAUAUGCGCGAAUUUGGCCAAUUGUGAGCUCCGUUCAAUGGUCUUCAUAGAUAGGAGUAUGAUGGGGUCAGCUUCCUCAACGACUAACUAUCCUGGAAAAAUACCUCAUGCACUUGAUCUUCCCAGUGAUGUUUCCACUGAGAAGCUUCCAAAGGAAGGACUUGCAAACUAACAAUAGCGUAUAAGAACAAUGACCAAGAAGGAAUAUACACAAUACAUGUGAUAUAUGAUUCAAGUGUUUGUUGAGGCACUUCCGUAGUUAAUAUAUUUCUACAGAAGACAAGGUAUCCAUUUUUAGCAACUUCGAUGGCUCUCUUGGAUGAUUUCAUAAUUCUUUUUUCUUGGAAUAGGUAGAUCUAAAGCCUAUACCAGAGUUGUCAUGCCGAUUCUUUUUCAGAUGAAGAUGUGAACACAUUGGGUUUAUCAUACUUUAUUUAGCUUUCUAUGGGGGCCAUGGAAGAUUGCUGUUUUUUACUUUGGAACAUGAACAUACAGUGAGGUUUCUGUUUCAAUAUCAUUUAUUUGUUAUGUAGUCUUUUAUCGUUAAA